UUAGACCUCUGAGAUGCCUCGCUGACAUAUUUGUUUAUUGUUACGAAAUGGUAAUGGAGGUGGAAGCAAGUGCAGAUCACAGACUUUAUUCAUGGGAAAACAAGGCCAUAAACAUGAAACGGGAAACGAGGUCUAAACAUGAAACCAAGUCUAAACAUGAAACGAGAAACGAGGUCUAAACAUGAAACGAGGUCUAAACAUAAAAGGAGAAACGAGGUCUAAACAUGAAAUGAAGUCUAAACAUGAAACGAGGUCUAAACAGGAAACGAGAAACGAGGUCUAAACAUGAAACAAAGUCUAAACAUGAAACGAGAAACGAGGUCUAAACAUGAAACGAGGUCUAAACAUGAAACAAGAAACGAGGUCUAAACAUGAAACGAGGUCUAAACAUGAAAUGAGGUCUAAACAUGAAACGAGAAACGAGGUCUAAACAUGAAAGGAGAAACGAGUUCUAAACAUGAAACGAGGUCUAAACAUGAAACGAGAAACGAGGUCUAAAC
ensembl:lncRNA